ACUCUGUGUUCUAAGUACUUCCACAGCAAACAAGACCCGGGCUCAGGCCUGAGGCCUGAAACCUGAGGCUGCAAAUUGAUAAACCAGCUUCUGAUUUCUAAUCUCUCUUCCAAAACAUAGCAAGGCUUAGAUCACAUAGCAGAAAACAUUCUUUCGUACCUGGAUGCCAGGUCUCUGUGUGCAGCAGAGCUGGUAUGUAAAGAAUGGCAGCGAGUGAUCUCAGAAGGAAUGCUUUGGAAGAAGCUGAUUGAACGAAUGGUACGCACUGAUCCCCUAUGGAAAGGACUUUCAGAAAGAAGAGGGUGGGAUCAGUACCUGUUUAAAAACAGACCCACAGAUGGCCCUCCAAAUUCAUUUUAUAGGUCAUUAUACCCAAAGAUUAUCCAGGAUAUAGAGACUAUAGAAUCUAACUGGCGGUGUGGACGACACAACUUGCAGAGGAUUCAGUGCCGCUCUGAAAAUAGUAAAGGUGUCUACUGUUUACAGUACGACGAUGAAAAAAUUAUCAGUGGCCUACGAGAUAAUUCUAUUAAGAUAUGGGAUAAAACCAGCCUGGAAUGUUUGAAAGUGUUAACAGGACACACAGGCUCUGUCCUCUGUCUGCAGUAUGAUGAGCGUGUCAUUGUAACCGGCUCUUCAGAUUCUACAGUGAGAGUGUGGGAUGUGAACACGGGUGAAGUUCUUAACACAUUGAUCCACCACAAUGAGGCCGUACUGCACUUACGCUUCAGCAAUGGACUGAUGGUGACCUGUUCCAAGGACCGCUCCAUUGCUGUGUGGGACAUG
rnacentral:sRNA from 1 species